UACAGGGGGUGCUAGCGUUGUUCGGAAUUACUGGGCGUAAAGGGCGCGUAGGCGGCUCAACAAGUCAGAUGUGAAAUCCCGGGGCUUAACUCCGGACGUGCAUUUGAAACUGUUAGGCUAGAGUGCAGUAGAGGAUGGUGGAAUUCCCAGUGUAGAGGUGAAAUUCGUAGAUAUUGGGAAGAACACCAGUGGCGAAGGCGGCCAUCUGGCCUGGAAUUGACGCUGAGGCGCGAAAGCGUGGGGGAGCAAACAGGG
rnacentral:rRNA from 1 species